rnacentral:rRNA from 1 species
AUUGAACGCUGGCGGCAGGCCUAACACAUGCAAGUCGAACGAGUGGCGGACGGGUGAGUAAUGUCUGGGAAACUGCCUGAUGGAGGGGGAUAACUACUGGAAACGGUAGCUAAUACCGCAUACCUUUGGAUGUGCCCAGAUGGGAGUAGCUUGUAGGUGAGGUAACGGCUCACCUAGGCGACGAUCCCUAGCUGGUCUGAGAGGAUGACCGGCCACACUGGAACUGAGACACGGUCCAGACUCCUACGGGAGGCAGCAGUGGGGAAUAUUGCACAAUGGGCGCAAGCCUGAUGCAGCCAUGCCGCGUGUAUGAAGAAGGCCUUCGGGUUGUAAAGUACUUUCAGCGGGGAGGCGUUACCCGCAGAGGAAGCACCGGCUAACUCCGUGCCAGCAGCCGCGGUAAUAC